CAAAAUUUUGUCUCGGACUCCAAAUUGAGCAUUUCGAAGAUGGUAUAUUUGUACAUUGAUAACACUGUAUUUUACUCAUUUUAGGUGUAUGUUUAUCAUCAUUUAGCUAUGCAUUUGCUCAUUGUAUCAUAUCAUUUUACACCAUUUUAGAUUAUUUUGCAUACUUAGGCAUCUAGGAUCAUCUUGCAUACGCAUUGCAUGUUUGGUGUGUUUUCAGGUGCAGAAGGAGCUAAAAAGGACUCUACUCGAUCCAUUCACUCGAUCCAGGCAGCUACCGAGGAGGCUGCAGUUUACUCGACCCUCUUACUCGAUCAAGGCAGCCUCAGAUGAAGCAGUAGAUUGAUCUACUCGCCCCUCCUACUCGAUCCUCUACUCGACCCAUUUACUCGACCAAGGGUGACCAACUCUACAAGACUUGUUGAGCUAUCAAAGCGUCUUCGGAUCCUCCUCAUUCCCCACUCAACUAGACAUCUGAGCAUACAGAUAGGAGAGGAAGAAGCAUCUACUCGACCAAUUGAUCACUCGGAGCAUUGAUACAAAGGCGCAGACUUUGCAGCACCCUCCUUACUCGAUCCCCAAGAUCGAGCAUCCGCCCAAACCGCCUCAAGUCUCUUGUCUUCUAAUGAAUCUAGGGUUUCAACAUUUUACUAUAAAUAGAUCCCUUUGGGGUUUGUCCAAAGGAUCAAGCUUUUUUCUUUCAGUUUUUCUUUGUUUUCUUGAAUCUUCAAACCUUAAU
rnacentral:sRNA from 1 species